UACGUAGGGGGCAAGCGUUGUUCGGAAUUACUGGGCGUAAAGGGCGCGUAGGCGGUUGGAUAAGUCAGCUGUGAAAACCACGAGCUUAACUCGUGGCCUGCAGUUGAGACUGUCUGGCUUGAGUGUGGGAGAGGAGAGUGGAAUUCCUGGUGUAGCGGUGAAAUGCGUAGAUAUCAGGAGGAACACCGGUGGCGAAGGCGGCUCUCUGGACCACAACUGACGCUGAGGCGCGAAAGCUAGGGGAGCAAACAGG
rnacentral:rRNA from 1 species